UACGGGGGGAGCAAGCGUUGUUCGGAAUUACUGGGCGUAAAGGGCGCGUAGGCGGAUAGUUUAGUCAGAGGUGAAAGCCCAGGGCUCAACCUUGGAAUUGCCUUUGAUACUGGCUAUCUUGAGUACGGGAGAGGUGUGUGGAACUCCGAGUGUAGAGGUGAAAUUCGUAGAUAUUCGGAAGAACACCAGUGGCGAAGGCGACACACUGGCCCGUUACUGACGCUGAGGCGCGAAAGCGUGGGGAGCAAACAGG
rnacentral:rRNA from 1 species